rnacentral:lncRNA from 1 species
AAUAAGUCAACAUGACCAACAUUAUCAGUUGACCCCUUAAGGAGUUAUUGCCCUUUAUAGUCAAUUUUGACCAAUUUUUCGUAAAUUUUUGUAAUCUUUUACAAAAAUCUUCUUCUCUGAAACUACUGGGCCAAAUUUAACCAAACUUGGCCACAAUCAUUAUUGGGGUAUCUAGUUUAAAAAAUGUGUGGCGUGACCUGGCCAACCAACCAAGAUGGCCGCCAUGGCUAAAAAUAGAACAUAGGGGUGAAAUGUAGAUUUUGGCUUAUAUCUCUGAAACCAAAGCAUAUACAUCAAAUCUGACACGUGGUUAAAUUGUUUAUCAGGUCAAGAUCUAUCUGCCCUGAAAUUUUCAGACAAAUCGGACAAUCUGUUGUUGGGUUGCUGCCCCCGAAUUAGUAAUUUUAAGGAAAUUUUGCAGAUUUUGGUUAUUAUCUUGAAUAUUAUUAUAGAUAGAGAUAAACUGUAAACAGCAAUAAUGUGCAGCAAAAUAAGAUCUACAAAUAAGUCAACAUGACCAAAAUUGUCAAUUGACCCCUUAAGGAGUUAUUGCCCUUUAUAGUCAAUUGUUAACAAUUUUCAUAAACUUUUGUUAAUUUUUGUAAAUUUUAGGAAAUAUUUUCCACUGUAAUUACUGGGCCAAGUUCAUUAUAGAUAGAGAUAAUUGUAGCAACAAGAAUGUUCAGUAAAGAAAGAUCUACAAACACAUUACCAUCACCAAAACACCAUUUUGUCAUGAAUUUAUCUGUGUCCAUUGUUAAUAUGCACAUAGACCAAGGUGAGCGACACAGGCUCUUGAGAGCCUUUAGUUUAUU